rnacentral:lncRNA from 10 species
CACCGCUCCUGGAGCGAUUGUUUCAAUGUUGCUUGCUCGGAAUGGCCCUCCUGAGCAAACAACAGACGGUGCUCAAAGUAACAACUGGACUUAAUAAAAGGAGCUUACACGAAGGAGGAGCUGAAGGCUGCUGUGGUCGUGUGCUGGGGGCUGCCCCAGCUCCAGCUGCAGGACCCCGGCCGUCUGCCUUCCGACUCCGGUGAUGAUUCUUCCUGCGGUCUGAUCAAGAUUCUAUGCAGUUAACUUUGUAUCCAAGGAUCUAUAGCCAAGAAAUUUGGAGCUCAGUUUCAAACUUCAGUUCUCUAUCCAUCCAACCAUUUUGCUCCCAGGAAACACACAGAGCAUUUACAG